AUCUCCUGUAAUGCGAAUGCGGGGAAAACCCACAUCCAAUUCGCAUAGGUGUGAACCCAGCCUUACAGGUGAGAUAUUGGCUAAAAAUGGUGUGGUGACAGGGCCACUUUAAUGCUGCUCUGUGAUGAUGGUUAAAGUGCACUCACAUCUACAACAAAUUCACACUGAAAUCUUCACCAUCCAUGAGGGAAUUUAUAAAGACAACAUUGGGUUGCUAUUAGUUUGUAAUUACAUUUAUAAAUCAUGGGGACUCUUGCCAAGUUGGGCAGUUGUUUAAAACAAGUACAGAUAUUGUAUGCUGACCAAUGAGAAGUAUGGGUGUUUGUGUGCCCCAAUCACUGGACUGCUG